rnacentral:misc_RNA from 1 species
UGACAUGAUGACAAAGUAUAGUCAUAUAGAUAGUGAUGAUCCUUCAAUAAUUCAAACUAUAUAUAAAAUCUGUGACAACCUUUAUGCUAAUGAACCAUGUCAUUGUCAAUGAGAAUAUCAUUGACAUAUAAGAUGUCUCAACUCCUAAAUUUAAAGAAGAAUACAAAAAGAAGAAAAAAAUCAGGGCCAAAUAAAACUCAUUAAAGAUUUAAAUCAAGCAGAAACCUCUUCGUAGAAGUCCUCUUCUAGUUCCU